GACGAACGCUGGCGGCGUGCCUAACACAUGCAAGUCGAGCGGUAAGGCCCUUUCGGGGGUACACGAGCGGCGAACGGGUGAGUAACACGUGGGCGACCUACCCUCAGCUUCGGGAUAAGCCUGGGAAACUGGGUCUAAUACCGGAUAUGACCUUCCCUCGCAGUGGGGGUUGGUGGAAAGUUUUUUCGGCUGGGGAUGGGCCCGCGGCCUAUCAGCUUGUUGGUGGGUGAUGGCCUACCAAGGCGACGACGGUAGCCGGCCUGAGAGGCGACCGGCCACACUGGGACUGAGAUACGG
rnacentral:rRNA from 1 species